AUCUUUGAACGCACAUUGCGCCCCUUGGUAUUCCAUGGGGCAUGCCUGUUCGAGCGUCAUCUACACCCUCAAGCUCUGCUUGGUGUUGGGCGUCUGUCCCGCCUCUGCGCGCGGACUCGCCCCAAAUUCAUUGGCAGCGGUCCUUGCCUCCUCUCGCG
rnacentral:rRNA from 1 species